AACUAGGCAAGCAGGCCCUCAGUUAUGCCACCGAAUACAUUAGCAUGGGAUAAUGGAAUAGGACCCUGUCCUCCUCUUUUCAGUUGGUUAAUUUAUGUGCGAGGAUCAGGGUAAUGAUUAAUAGGGAUAGUUGGGGGCAUUAAUAUUUAAUUGUCAGAGGUGAAAUUCUUGGAUUUAUGAAAGAUUAACUUCUGCGAAAGCAUCUGCCAGGGAUGUUUUCAUUAAUCAAGAACGAAAGUAAGGGGAUCGAAGACGAUCAGAUACCGUCGUAGUCUUAACCAUAAACGAUGCCGACCAGCGAUUAGGAGACGUUGAAUACAAAACACCGCUAAAGAUAAUUCAUUAUAUGGCUUCACGGCUGUAUGUGGUG
rnacentral:rRNA from 1 species